rnacentral:snoRNA from 1 species
AUGCAUUCUCAAACCCUCCUGGUACUGUUGUGAUUAUAACUUCCAGGAUAAGGAUGAAUGCAAAAGAAAAAAAUGUAGAAUUAUCCAAAAUGCAAGACAUUCUUUCCUUGUCCUGCAUUAUUUCACCUCUUCAACAACA